ACAGAGGGUGCGAGCGUUAAUCGGAAUUACUGGGCGUAAAGCGUGCGCAGGCGGUUUUGUAAGUCUGUCGUGAAAUCCCCGGGCUCAACCUGGGAAUUGCGAUGGAGACUGCAAGGCUAGAAUCUGGCAGAGGGAGGUAGAAUUCCACGUGUAGCAGUGAAAUGCGUAGAGAUGUGGAAGAACACCGAUGGCGAAGGCAGCCCCCUGGGUCAAGAUUGACGCUCAUGCACGAAAGCGUGGGGAGCAAACAGGA
rnacentral:rRNA from 1 species